CCGAGAUGCUGUAGGCUGCAGGCGGUUAAGCCUUGGGACUGUUCGCCUAACACACAAACAGUGAAGAGGACCAAGCGUGGGAGGAAGCUAAGUUUCCAAACUCUUUACUGGUGAUUCCAGCACUUUGGAGGGCUUCCAUCUCUCCAGUUCCAAGCGAAGCGCGAAAGCUCUGCUUCCGACGGGAUUUAGAAGAGGCCGGUUAACGACGACCAGCCAGGACGCGGAGCAGUCUUUUCCGACCUCGCUGCUUCGCCCUCCCUUUACGCUGACUUUAAGAGCUUCAAGUCACGGUGGUCAUGAGUGCUACACUGAAGGACACCACAUGUCACCAAUCCUAAACUAGUAAGCAAUUUCUGGUUAUUAAGGAGUUUUUGAGCAGAAGGAAACCUGUGGCACCAGAAGCCUUCCCGUCUGCAAGUCGUUCAGUGGAAGGAAGCAGGACAGGGAAAGAAGGCUCGACAGACAACUUCCCCGUUGGCCUUCCAGCCUUCCCUGGACCCAUGUGCAUGUCCAACCUGGCCUCUUCUCAGGGAACGUUCACUAUCCGCGCAACAGAAUAAGAAAUAAGACAGUUGAUGGAACUGUCCUCAUAGAACGCAAACUCUGCCAUCAUUUCAAGCACGCUGGAUGGAGAGGAUUAAGGGCAGGACCCAUAUUUCACACCUUUGCUUCCUGGGGAAUGAGGCUGCCUAAGAGAGAGGCAUGACCAGCUACUGCUCUUUUCCACAAGCUGCGUGUGCAAUUGUGUUAUCAUUCAACAGAAGUUCAAAGUAGGAAAAUAUCUUAUUACAGGUGGGGACACUCCAAGAAAUUUCUGGAUUGUUAGAGUGAACAGAAAUAUUCAGAAACGAGCCUGUUUACCUUAAAAUAUCUGAAUGCCAGAUGCAAAAUGUUUGAACAUAAGUCCCUCACUUAAUAAGCAGAGAUGAACACAGUCUUGUGGUCACUGACAAGAAAGGGGUGGAUUUAUUUGAUAAGAACUGCAGAUGAGUACUCUUCCUGGGUGAGAGAAGUUCGGAUGGACUGCAGACUCCAAACCAACAACAUAAGCGCCAUCAGAAGCCUUGUAAAUGGUAUCAACAAUACAAGAUGGGCUUUAAAAAAAUACCGAAUAGGCCUCCUAAAAGAAUAACGUUUUACCACCAAAUUCCCUCGGUCCAGGGCCGCAGGAGAAUGUGCCUCUACUAGAUGCCUGUAACAUUUCCCCCUUCGCUUCUCAGGCUGGAGAGGCUCCACAGCCAUCUCCAGUGACCGUCCCCUCCAGGCCUGAUGCUGCACACAGUCACCGAUUCUAACAGCUUUCUCUCUUUUAUCUUCCAUAAGGUUAAGGGUUUCCAAAAGCCAUUAGGACCCAAGAGAGUAAAACCAACCAAACGAAGAAGCAUAAAAUCUCCACAAACAUAAGGAAUCUGCAUGGUUAAAUUUCUUCUCCAAAGUCGCCUGCACCCCAAUUCCAUGUGGCUCUGCCUUCGGUAGGCACCCGUUAGACGCCUCUGCUCUCCCCUUCCGGGGAGAGUAACAGAAUCCCCCGUCUGCUGAGCCGCUUGUGCAUUUCGUGGGAAGCGUAGGAUGCUGUGACCUCCUUCAGAAUUCUGUACUAACUUUUUACGGGGGAAGCCUCCUGCUUCCAAUGUCUAGAACUGUGGAAUCUCUAAAUAUGCUUUCUUUUUUUGUCACGGUCUUCCUCUUUCCAGUUUCUUAACAUGGUUUUGGUUUCACUCCUCAGUCUUUCUCUUCGGUUUUGCCUGCGACUUCUGCUGUACAAAUUUAAUCGUAAGAACAGCCAGACUUCUGUAGCACUGACUCUGCCAGCACUCAGCCAGCCUCACGGCCUCUCUCUGUGGGAGGGUCAUGACUGUCGUCUCCAUCUUCAAAGUGAGAGAUGGAGUCAGGGAGGUUAGACACCCGGCUCCAGGGGGCAGCACUGAGCAGCGCAGAGCCCUGACUCCAUGGCAGCCCGCUGCUUCCAAAUCCUGCUUCUGCCUGCCCCGCAGCGCUCCCACCUACCCGCUUCCCUCUGGAGGGUGUUGUCCUCUGUGCCUUUGGUCCUGGGUCAUUUUAUCCCCCCGUGUUUAGAGUCUUCAAUUCUCAUAAAAAAACAGAAAUAAGUGCUAAAAUAUUUGGAAGCCCUUUUUAACUUUUCUGGGGUGAGAUAUUUUCCAGCUCUAUCACCAUGGACUUAACAGUCCCCGAACCCCAGGAGCCUCCCUGAUGUGCAAUCCGGGGAUUUUAAUAACCGCCCUGCGCUGUUAUCAUGACAGCAGAUAUUACACAAGCACAGCGGGGCCCAUUCAUCCAGCUGCUGCGAUGGGCCUUCCUACUCGGCUCCCUAACUCCAGAAUCUUAAUGGUCAGUGAGGGUCCAUCCAGUCCAAGAAUCUAUUUAUUAGUACCUGGAGAGGAUCUUGAUUUUAGAACUUUGGGAAUACAAAAUUUUUUUUUGAGAAUCAUCACGUUCUCUGUUUAAUUACAUACAGGUUCUUAUUCAUAAAAUACACCUAUCAGUUUAUCGCCUCGGCUCCAAGUUCACUCUCCAGUACCCGCUCUGGGAUAUCGGCAGGGCGCUUUUCGGUCCUGGUGACUCCUGGGAACAUGGAUGCUCACAUUCCUUCACCCUGUGACCCCUCCUGUGUAGGACACUGCAGGAUGCAGCUCCUCUUCAUGAAACCAGUUUCUUAACCUUUUGCAGUGUCAGAAAUGCUGGAAAAGAAAGCCAUAAAAUUAUGGUGAUAGUCAGUGGAAGACAGUGAGACAUUUUAAAAUCCAUAGUUCCUGAAGGACAAAUCAUGAAUGUCCAUGCAUUCGAGCUCUCUGUUGACUGAGAAUGGCUAUUUAUCUCCCACAGGGAGGAGCCGGUGAGGAGCCACGGAGAGUGGAGAAUAAGCCUUAGCCUGGGGGACCUGCCGAAGGAGCGGGUGGUGCGUGGGUGAGGGGAGCCCCCUUCCCUUUGCCUCUCUCGCCAGCCCCGCGUGGCUCCUGACCGCUCUCGGAUGACUCUCCUCUGGUAGCACGAUGUCCCACGUGCUCCUUUCUGCUCCUGCAAAACAGCUACGCAGUGGGCACACUAGAGCAUGGCCCUGCCUUAAACACUCUGUAAAUGAGAAAGACGGGGAAGAAACAUCCGUCUCUGGCUUACGUCACGGAAGAAUUAUGGUGAAAAACAUGGCAUAAGGAGAUUCGCGUUUUUUCCUAGGACAGUAUUCCCUCUGCUGGUGAAAGCCUGGAACUUCCCCCACGAAUGCAGCUUUAUAAAGAAGCAGCCGACCGGGACUGUCGUUUCUGUAUUCCAGGGAACACUUGGCGUUUUCUUGCACACCACGUGUUGUUUUUAGAGUCUGACAAAACCUCCAAGGAAAUCACCAGUUACGUCUUUUUUUAUUUUCCUACAUAUUCAAUUCUGAAGUUUUCUCUUCCCCAAACGAAAGCUUCGUGUCUGAGGAGAGACUGCGUUUAUUUACUAAAUGAGCAUCUCUCUCCCAGGGUGUGGUUUAUUUUCCAUAGAGCCCAACGUUAUGAUUUAGAAGGAAGCUCUCCCAGUGUGGUCCCUGGAGAUGCUCUCUUGGUCUCACAGAGAAUUAAAGUGCAAUUGUGUCCCAGAGGCGAAAAGUGAUAGAUAUCUGUGUCCAAUUCAGUCGACUUAAUAAGAUCCUUGUGACCUACACUUGAGGCUGUCCUACUCAUUUCUGCCUUCGGAGGAAGCUUACGUCAGCGGUCCUGGAGGAAGCGGCCUGUUCUAGUGACUCACCUGGGAAAGCCGCGAGGAGACGCCUCCUUGGGCUCAAAGAGGAUGCCAGAGCCCUCCAAGGGUCACACAGCUAACACUAGUGUGAUUUUUGCACUGAUAUUUAACACACUAAGAAAGUAAGAAAUAAAUGUAAAUAGAAGAAAAAGGAAAUUGACUUGGAUUAGACUCCUCUCAACAUUUUGAUGAAGGCACUGGGGUAAAUAAUUAAAGCAGUAGAUUUACCGGCAAUUUUCAGAGUAGUACCUGAAUACCGUUCCUACCCUGGAGGGCUUGCAUCCUGUGUUACCCGAGGAAAUGUUUCAAUGUAUCCUUACAGCUCGCCAACAGUCACUCCAAACUCAACUUCCGAUUAAUUCUGACAGCGCGGGGUCCCCUUUCCACUUUCUGUUUUUAAUUGUUUUUCCUCCUGUGUUUUGAGUUGAAUAUUCACUUUCUCCUAAAACUGAGAUUAUUUUGAAGAGUGUUAAAAGGUAAAUUUCAAAAAUGGUUAAAAUCAUGACUCUCAUGGAGAUAAAAAUGAGCAGAUGUUAGAGAUUUUAUUCUGCUCAUUAACCAGUGAGGGAACCAGGCAGAUGUCAUACCUGGUUUAAAAGAGAAUCUGAAGAAAUGGUGCAUUUAUAAAUCAGGAAUAUUGAAGUGAAUGUGCAAAUGGAGGCAAAGUUGGUUUUUGAACACGAGGAGACAGGACAUUAAUUGAACCUCUACCGGGCAGGGCACAAUUUGCAUGUCAACAGACAAGAGUUAUUUUGCACUGUUACUACUUAUCUUUGAUUUACAGAGUUGCAGAAGAGCUCAAGGCCGGAAAAGACUAGGAUCAGAGAGUCCUGCAGUGUUCUAGGGCCUAGACAAUGCAUGGUUUUCCAGUGAAGCACAACUUUUUUCCUACAAGAAAAAAUAAUUUUCUGCUUGAGGCUCUUUCUAUCAAUUUUCUUAGAAAACAGGCAGAUCCAACGCUUGGUAUGCAACCUCUGGGUUUCUGUGUCGGAUUCUUCUUGUUUCUCUCACACAGCAUUUAGUGAACCUCCAUGAGAAAUUGCUAAGUACACGUAUGAGAUAGUCCGCACUUCGAGAGUCCCCCCAACAAUGAAGUUUUAUUUAACUACGUGAAAUAUCCAAUUUUCUCUUGUUCCUUAGCAUUCUUUCUAUUUGUUUAGCAAAUAUUUACCAGUCACCCACUCGCCCAGCGUCAGGGCUAAGAAAACAGAAGUAGAUCGACAGGGGGACCGAGGCAAGCAAUGAGCUCAAAUACAACAGACAGGAAUUUUCUUCCAGAAACUCAGAGGUCCAAGAAAUACCAACAUACGUUAUUUUCUUUAAAUCAAAGAAUCUGAAUCUGAGACCCAGAUACCUGAUUGGCAGAUAAUUUAAUCUCAGUCAUUAUCCAGCUUCCUUGGGGUCAUGGGAAGGCCCAAGGAUUAUAAAAAAGCAAAAUAUUUGUGGGGUUUGUCUGUGGUCUUUGGUCCCACAGGGAAAAUUGUGCAAGACUGUGUAGUUUAGUAGGCAUUCUGACUGGCUUGUCCCUGUGGGUCGUCUCUGCUGUCGGUUGUCUUUGACUAGGUUAUUUGACAGCUCCAUAGAGAUAGAUGUUAACUUGUAGAGCAUGAAUAAUAACCCAAAUGUUUCCUGGGCAUAGCUAAGCAAAUGGUUCCUGUUCAUGGCAAUGCAAAUUAGUUUUGUUUGAUAGAGAAUAUAAAUCUCUGGAAGUCAAAUUUCCAUUUGAACUGAUUGUUAUAUAUCUUACUGGUUCCCUUAUAAAUUAUUGAGUUAAAUGAAAUCCUUGAUGUACUCAUGUUACAUUUGUAUGUGAAUUAUGAUUUUUCCCUCUUGUAAAAUGUGUCCUGUUUCAUUCCCACUAAGAUGUUGCCCUGAAGGUCACAUGUCGUUUGAGUUGGCUCUCCUGCCUCAGCAGGGACGAGAGUCCUGGCAGGGAUCUGUGGUUUCAGGGCUCCCACGUGGUUGUGCAGAGUUGGUAGUACUCGAUUCUAGGGGGCGCCAUUCACAUAGGCCAAGAGUAAAAUUUUCCCUUAGUAAACAUGCUGCAGGCUGUUGGUCUCUGUCAUGACCACUCAACUCUGCCCUGGUUGCUCAAGAGCAGCCACAGACAACACACUGAUGAAUCGAGGUGGUCGUGUUCCGAAAAAGCUUCAUUUACAGAAACAGGCAGAAGCCCGCAGGCUUAGUUCACCAGCUCCUGACGUACACUGCAGUAGCCUGUCUGAAAUCCUUGGAAAACUCUAAGAGAGUGAGAAGUAGGGGCUCACCAUUUACAUUUCUUUUUCCCCUGUGCCCUACUUGCCCUGCAAAAGGCACUGGUUUUUUUUGUUUCUCUUUAUCCUCUAGCAUAAUUUUCUCAAAAAGUCUAGUCUUUUGAAAACAAAAGAUGGGGGGGAAACUGUUGGAACAUUUCGCUUUAGCCCAUAGUGUCCCUGAAUCACAGGACAAGAAGACUGCUACCAUGAUGUAAAAGGAGAGGAAAAACACAAGAUCAAAACACUCAUUGAUAAAUUAUCUGGUCACAAGGAUAAGACCUAUUUCUUCUAUAAUCGUUAUUAUUAUUUUUUUUUUUUACAAUUUUCUUACUUUUAUGAAGUGCUAUGGUUUUUCAAAGCAUUUUUCAACAUGUACUCAGACAUAGCCAGCAAAGCAAGAAGAGCUAAGUCAGCUGUCUUCUAGUCAAUGUUCAACAACUGGCUAAAGACUUAAACUACGUCAGAAAAGGCCAUUGGCUUCCAUCUGGUGCUUCUGGGAUGCUUGCUGUGAAGGAAACUUGCUCCCCUGUAGGAAAUCGGACUACCCCGCAUCCACCUUGCUGGAGGGAACACAUAUAGGGACUUUGGUAGAUGGACACCAUCACCUGCAAGACAUACGUGCAAGCUGUCUUGGACAUCCAGGCCGGUUAAGCCUUCAGACAACUGUCGCAUCAACUGAUGUCCCAUUGCCACUAUAUGAGGAACCCCAAAUGAGAACUGCCCAGGCGGGCCAUUCAUGAAUUCCUGACCCACAUAACUGUGAGCAAAAUGAAUGAUUAUUGUUUCAUGUCACCAAUUUUUAGAUUAAUUUGUUAUUUGGCAAUAGGAACUGUAACAGGAAGAAAGCAACAGUGUUUGGAGAGUCAUCGCACACGGAGAGUGAAAGAGAGAGAGGAGCCAGAGAGGAUUCUAGACACUGAAUCUUUUAGAAAAUAAUUUUGUCAUCUCGGGGAGCAGGAAAUUGGCGGAGGAGGCCAAAUGGUUGAG
rnacentral:lncRNA from 1 species